UUUCCGUAGGUGAACCUGCGGAAGGAUCAUUAAAGAGUAAGGGUCUCUGGCCCGAACCUCCAACCCUCUGUUGUUAUAACUACUUCGUUGCUUUGGCGGGACCGCGAAGGUUCUCCCGAGCGCGCCAGUCUCCGGACAGGCGAGCGCCCGCCAGAGUCUACCAAACUCUUGUUUUAAACCAGUCGUCUGAGUAUAAAAUUUUAAUUAAAUUAAAACUUUCAACAACGGAUCUCUUGGUUCUC
rnacentral:misc_RNA from 1 species